rnacentral:rRNA from 1 species
UACGUAGGUGGCAAGCGUUGUCCGGAAUUAUUGGGCGUAAAGCGCGCGCAGGCGCUCCUUUAAGUCUGAUGUGAAAGCCCACGGCUCAACCGUGGAGGGUCAUUGGAAACUGGGGGACUUGAGUACAGAAGAGGAAAGCGGAAUUCCACGUGUAGCGGUGAAAUGCGUAGAGAUGUGGAGGAACACCAGUGGCGAAGGCGGCUUUCUGGUCUGUAACUGACGCUGAGGCGCGAAAGCGUGGGGAGCAAACAGG